rnacentral:lncRNA from 1 species
AGUGAACUAGGAAUGAGUCCUUAUAGGGUGAGCUAUAGCCUGAGCUGGGCAGAAUUAUCACCGUGAGGUCUACAGUGUUGCAGAGCCCACAGGAAAUCUCCUUCGAUGCUGUCCUUUGUGGCUGCUGGGUGCUCUCAGAUAUAACCAGCUGCUAAUACCAGGACAGCAGCCACCAGCCUUCUUCAGGAGAAUCAAGUGCUCCCUUGUUGUUCCAUCUCUACAGGGGCAGUCUGGUGCACUGGACAGUGAUAUAACUUGUGCCUUCACUUUCUGUAUGUGGAGGAUUCUGCAAAUGAAGAAAAAAAGGUUUCAUGUGGCUGCGGAGACCCACCUCUUCCAGAGGAGAAUGAGCUUUUCUGGCUAUAAAACACUUUGCAGCAAGCUAAUGUGGCUGUAUAUCUGGACAAUCCAAUCUGCUUUUGCCAGUGCAAUCAGUGCGGGUGUGAGUUACGGGCACAGGAGAGCACAGCUGUCCAUGUGGGGCUGGGAUUGACGAGUGGUGUGCUGCCGCAC